GCUUUUGUGCCAUGGGGUGAUACCGAAGUGGCUGAGAACCCAAAAGCUCAAGCUGAGCUGUUGAGUGGGGUCUGCUGACACGGUGGUGGCUGUUGAUACCCAGCACUGCUGCUCUUGUGGCAUCCUGUGGGAAAAUGUGGGAUCUGCCCCCUCCCCAGACCCAGGGUGCUGCUCACCCUCCUGGAGCCAGUCAGGAGGUGACAGCCCCAUCCUCCCCUCUCCUCUCAUCCAGGCUGUUAGACCCAAGUCAGGGAGCUUGCAAAAAAACUCAGAGAAGAGUUCAGCUGCUCCAGCUACCAACUGCUGACAGUCCUGGAGGUUUCUGGUCACAGUCCUCUGCCUCUGAUAUCACCAGCUCUCACUGCAGAAAGGAUAAUGAAUGGGCUGUUAGAGAAAACGGAAAAAAGAGAUAAAAUGAAGGAGAAAAGAGCUUCUGGUUGGAGCCACAAAGGACAGACACUGACAACCAGAACUCAUGGCUGCACACAGAUGUGGUUCCCACCUCUCCCUUGCUCCCUGUGUGGAUUUUGCUGCCUAUCUCACCACUUCUGAGCAAUAUUAUUUAAAAAAACCCCAUGACCUGAGUGGCAACCACUCUCCUGCCUACCCAACAGUGCCCUAUAAACACAGGCCUUAUAAACACAGCCUGCAAAAUGUUCAGUGGAGUUUCUGCACUUGCAACAGGAGCCCAGGGCAGGGAUGAAGUAAUCUUGAACUGAAUUCCCCCCAAAACACCCCUGAUGGGGUUUCAAACCUCUGAUUUGGGCUUUGUCAGAUCCAAACCAGAGCAGAAAGAUCUCUUAGACAAAAGGAGCAGGGACUUGCUGUGUGAGACAAAGGAAGGAAAGCAGGCUGGGGGUGGCUGCAGUUAACACUUCUGCUCCUGAAGGCCUUUCAGACCCUGCAGCCAGGUGUGCUCAGAGACACCCACGAGCCCUAUUUCAAGGUCAACAUCAACUACAAAACUCCUGGUGUCCAAAUUUAGACUGGAAUCCAAAACACAUGAGGGACAAGUUAAUUCUGCCUGUGAUAAAAGGGAGGGGGGAGGCUGGCCAGCAGAUUUUGCUGUCGUUCCAGUAGCAAGUGGAAAGGAAAGGCAAGGACUAUCCCCAAAGGAGGCCUAAUCAGGCCACAGAAUCACAAUUCGGGUUUCCACUUGGCAGGAAAUAUGUUAAAGCUAAAUGGAUUUCCUUUGGUAAGGCAGAAGCUUAACUGAGACAACACAGUGUUUUAACACACUUUUAAAAUAAUAAAAAUUGUUGUUGAGGCUCUGCAAAAAGCCAGAGCAGCAGGUUCUCCCAAACCAAACCAUAUUCCAGCACGACAUGUUAUGCAAGGAGCAGAAAACCAGGCAAAUGACAGAACAAUGGGUAAAGACAUGGAAAGGCAUUUAUAGAUAAAUUGGGAUUUGUAAAUAUUAAAUUGAUUUAAUAUUUAAAUUGAUUAAUUAAAUUAAGUCUUAAUGGACUUGCAUUGUCUGCCAAUAUAUUUACAAGGAAAAAGGAUUAACAAGGAUUUUGGCACAAAGGCCUCCAUCUACAGUUCAGUUUUUCAGGAGGGCCUGUUCUUUGCAAAAAACCAUUUAUGUGGGCAGUCUAAAAACUACUGUGGAAAAUCCAUCUCUCACACAGAUGUUGACUUGAGAAAUGUUUGCUUUUUUGCUUUCUGUGAUCACCAGGGCCUGAGAUCUGCACCACUGUUCUGAGGUCGAUUCUGCCUCUGGAAGGACUGUUUAAAUGCCUUAUUAUGAAAUGAUAUAGAUGUGCUUGGCUUUACUGUUGAUUUCCAACAGGUUUAUGUGAAUAAUUGAUUUUAAACUGUAUUGCCAAAGGAGAAAACUUAGAGGGGGAAUAAGAAUAUUAAAUAAAAACUGUUUUUCAUGCUUUUUCUAACUCAAAGCCAGGCUUUGUUUAGUUUUGUUUUCUCAUCAGUGUUAGUCCACUGCAAAUUCAUUGGAAAAGUGAACAGCUCUUUUAAUAAUUGUACAUUUCUUGAGGGGCCAUCACUUGGAUGCACUACAUCUGUAUCCAAACAGAGGAUGAAGAACAAAUUGUGUGGGGCUGAGCUACCCACUGGGGUUGAAUUGUGAUGCUGGCACUCUCAUUUCUCCCACAGCACUCCUGGUUCUCUACACCUCUGAAAUUACUUGCCCAUUACAAUCCCCCUGAACACAGGCACCGUCUCAGGUUGCUGUAGAAACUUCAUUAAUUUCAGGAUUAAUGUCUCAGGAUAGCAUCCACCUUAGCCUGCAUUCCCACUGCCUUCCACAACCGUGACCUUUAAGCAAAUUGUUGCUCUUCUCAGUGGGAGCAGAAGAAGCCACCCACGAGCCUCACAAGAUGAGUCUCCUAUCUUCAUCACAAUAUAUUACAGAAAAGUUCAAUCUUGACUCCUUCCCUGCACCAUCUGAACCACCAGCAUUACAUCUCUAUUCAGGAGCAUGAAAUGCUCAUGCACCACAAUGGAUUUGGUUUU